rnacentral:piRNA from 1 species
GCUUGCAGGAACCCCGGUGCUCAUGUGU